CAGGAUGUGGCUCAGUUUAUGGCUGCUGGCUCCUUAGGCCACUGGACCAACCCAGUGUCUCCAGAUGGGGUGCCCCAAAGCACCGUUUCCCAAUUCCGUCUGGGUUUACAUGAGCUCGGGCUUUGGCUGUGAAUGGAUGGUAAAAGGCUGGAGGGAAGACCUGUCAGCUGAGAGGGAAAACAGCAAGAGCUGCGUGGCGGUGGCCGAAGAGUAGGAAUCUCCCGAAAUCAUCCAUACAGGCAGGUGCGGAAUCACGUUGCCCUCCAGUGGCUGCAGCUCAUGGCGACAGCAGGAGGAAUUCUGGGGUCCCUGGCUGUCCCCUAAAGUCCGAUGUUUGUUUGAAGCCCGGCCCACCCUUGGGAGCCUGAGAACCUCCGCAGUUCUCCCCUCAGCACCUGGACAGCAGCCCAGGAGAAGGCCUCAGCUCUGCUGAGCUGUAGCUCCGCAUCAUCUCCCCCGGCAGCAAUUCCCCGCCUAACCGCUUGGUUCUGGAAAUGGGCCUCAGUGCUGCUCAUCAACCUCCCCAUCCCACUUCAUCAGGCUACCUACUACCCUAAUAUGUUACCUAUGGGAAGGGAAUCUUGCUCAAAACUUGGGACAUCUUCAUUCCUUGACUAUCAAAUUCUCCCCUUCGUGCAUUUUUAAUGGAAAUUUUAAAUGAAAAUCUGGCUUCUCUCCCUCUCUCCUCCUCACCCCACCCCCCAUGAGAAAGAA